rnacentral:rRNA from 1 species
GAUGAACGCUGGCGGUGUGCCUAAUACAUGCAAGUCGAGCGAAAACACGAGGAGAUUGCUCUCUUGACGUUAGCGACGGACGGGUGAGUGAGAAGUGGAUAAGCUACUUAUAAUACUGGGAUAAUUUCGGGGAAACGGAGAUAAUAAUGGCUCAUAUAUUGAACCGGUUGGAUCAGUAGUGCAUGACGGUUUUGCUGACACUUAUAGAUGGAUUCGUGUCGGAUUAGCUAGUUGGUAAGGUAACGGCCUACCAAGGCGACGAUGCGUAGCCGACCUGAGAGGGUGAUCAGCCACACUGGAACUGAGACACGGUCCAGACUCCUACGGGAGGCAGCAGUGGGGAAUCUUCCACAAUGGGCGAAAGCCUGACGGAGCCACACCGCGUGGGUGAAGAAGGCCUUCGGGUUGUAAAGCUCUGUUAUUGGGAAAGAACAGAUGUGGAAUAAUCCAUGCAUGUCUUGACGGUACCUAAACAAUAAGCCACGGCUAACUUCGUG